rnacentral:lncRNA from 1 species
AGCACCUCGGACAGCGCGACGUCGAAACACGCGAAUAACAGCAGUUCAUGGCCAGCGUGGCCACUGCGUAGGAAGAGAGGAUGACGAUGGUGCUGCCCACGAAGUUGGAGGACGCGCCCCUGGCCGCCACCCGGUAUCCCCUCUUGGAGUAGAUGUUGUCGGCGGCGAUGACGGUCUGCGGUACGGGCUCCAUGACGACGCUGUCCCGCUCGGCGUCUCCGAUUCUCUGGGACGAGGUGCCUGUGACCUGCUAUAAGAGCGGCCGCGCCCGGCCCCGCCCACACGCGUCACACCCGUCCAGGCCACCACUUCCCCAGGACGUCUUACCGGGACUACUGGCAGCAUCUCGCACCCAAUCCCUUCAUGGCACCGGCCAGAGUUCAAACAAAGACGCCAACAUGAUCCCCCCACACGGCGGCAGGACGGCCGACUCCUGGCAACUGUCACGGGCUGUCGUGUCAGGACACCGACUCUCGCAGCUCCUGCGUCUUCUUAAAGGGCCGAGCAUCAACCCUGACAACGAAUAAAAAACACACGAACAAAGUACAGGUAAAUGCGAGAUACGAUGGAACCUCCACCGAUACAGACUGUCCACAUACACCUGGCUUUUGUGGGCCAUUCUGACAAAAUUAGAUUAGAUUAGAUUAGAUUAGAUUCAACUUUAUUGUCAUUACACAUGUACAAGUACAGGGCAACGAAAUGGCUGUGCAAACACUGAUGAACAUGAAUACUUGUUAAUUCUGUACUCAUUUUCUGAUAAUAAGAUAAACUACAGGUUAUUACCCAAUAGCAUAAAUUGGGCCCUGAAUGGUUAACCCCAAAAACCUUAUUUUUUUAUCUUUAUCUUUUAUUGAAUGUUCAUAUAUGUUUUUAACAAAGAGUUCACCCUGUUCAACCAUUUGUGAAAUAUUGAUCAUGGUGGUAUUAUUAAUAUGAUUGUCCAGCCCACCUUUUAUUCUACUGUUAAUAAAAACACACUAUAUUUAAACUCCCCUGUCA